UACGGAGGGUGCAAGCGUUGUCCGGAAUCAUUGGGCGUAAAGCGCUCGUAGGCGGUUUAUCAAGUCUGGUGUUAAAUCCCGGGGCUCAACUUCGGAUCUGCACUGGAUACUGGUAGGCUAGAAUGAGGUAGAGGUAAUGGGAAUUUCUGGUGGAACGGUGAAAUGUUUAGAUAUCGGGAAGAACAUCGGUGGCGUAAGCGCAUUACUGGGCCUUUAUUGACGCUGAGGAACGAAAGCUAGGGUAGCAAAC
rnacentral:rRNA from 1 species